GAUAAGUGAUUUGUAAAGGCGGGAAGUUGUGUUGAAUUGGUAUCUGAAUCUACAACGAGGCACAGGUACCUCAGCUCAUACACAGCACAAGUAGGAGUCAGGUCAUACAGCUGUUGUUGGUGAGCUCCAGUUUGCUUCGGAGCUUUCCGAGUCGGUUCCUUAUAUUUUGUUAUUGUACAGGAGUCAUGUGUGGGCGGGGGUUUGUCCCAACCCUAGUUAUGUCAUGUAUAUCCUAGAGGCUUUGUAGACAUAAGGAAGGGUAAAGUCAUGGAAGUUUAUAUAGUAAUGUUAUAUUUGUAUAU